ACCUGGUUGGCUCAGUCGUAAGAGCAUGGGAUUUUUGAUCUCAAGGUAAUAGUUAAAGCCCUACAUUGGGUG
rnacentral:tRNA from 1 species